UCCAAUUUAAAAAGUGCCUCUCAUGCCUCAGGUGACUAAAAUUCUAACUGUUGUAAGCAACUGCUAAUUCUUCCAACUUCCCUUUUCUGUCAGCAUCUAUUUCAUUAUCAAGUGAAGAUAAGACACAGUAGGGUGGAUAUUAAAAUAAGAACUUGGUUAAACAUUGCAGACUGUGUG